UUUGGUGGCGACCGGCGCACGGGUGAGUAACACGUAUCCAACCUGCCGAUGACUCGGGGAUAGCCUUUCGAAAGAAAGAUUAAUACCCGAUGGCAUAGUUCUUCCGCAUGGUAGAACUAUUAAAGAAUUUCGGUCAUCGAUGGGGAUGCGUUCCAUUAGCUUGUUGGCGGGGUAACGGCCCACCAAGGCAUCGAUGGAUAGGGGUUCUGAGAGGAAGGUCCCCCACAUUGGAACUGAGACACGGUCCAAACUCCUACGGAAGGCAGCAG
rnacentral:rRNA from 1 species